GAACGUCAUUUUCCCCGAGCCUUCUUCUCCUCCGAUCCUUGCCCUAACCGCUCCUCGUCGGUUUCUCUUCUUCCCGAGCAUACAAGAACCCUGCCCGAUCCUUCCUCUUCCUCUUCUCUCCCAAUCUCUAGCCGUCUCCACCCGAAGCAUACCUCGGUGCCAACCGAUUGUGACCAUUUUCCCUCUUCCCUAGCGCCGGCAGACGGCCACCCCCUGAACCCUAGCCCUGAUCGCCCUCUCCCAUCGCAUCGCCUCGCCGACGCCGCAUGGAGCAGCACCGACCAUCACUGGAGCGAUCGAGCCUUGCAUCCUCUGUGCCCUAGUUCCUCUCGCGUCACCACCGACGACCACCAUCUGAUUGCUCAACUCUCGCCUUUCUCUCCUUGCGUCGCCUCCGCCCGAUCGCCUGCGGGCUGAUUGCCAGCAGAGCACCGCCUCACUGAGCAGACCCGUUGUCUCCCCGUACAAGCCAGUGCCACCUGAUUGCUGGAGUGGAGGGCGUUCAGGACCCCGAGGCCGAUGCCUUAGUGCCAUCGUCAGAGGUGUGUCUCGUUCCUAUGCUCAGUGUUGGGAGGAUUUACCGAUCACCGACCACAUGAACCCUAGCAGCGUGGAUCGCACUGCCGCGAGUUGCUUCUUCCUUCCCUUUGCUGUGAGCAGCCAACCUCAACACCUCAUUCCUCUGCCCCCUUUUUCCGCGAGGAACUAGGUUGAGGUAAGCUAUGUUUUGUGAAUUAGAGUGUGAUUCGGUGAUGAUUUGGAGCGAUUUGUAGUUCUGAUGUGCAAUCUAGUGUGUAAAUCUCAAACAUCGACGCAUUACAUCCUUCGCUGGGAGUUCAUCACAGCCAUCAACACUAUAACUCGUAGUGUUUUCUUGCUGGCACUCAUAAGGUUGAGGCUGUCCGGAGGAGUUCCAGUCGCUAGUCCCCUGCAGAUCGCAAGGAUAUUUUUAUUGGGUCUUUUGGUUUUAUUUCUUAUUGCACUAUCUGGACUUGUACUAGUUUUGCUUUAUGGAUAUUGUUGGGUUUAUUUUAUUGUCGAUGGAUUUUUAUUGGAUA